rnacentral:rRNA from 1 species
GUCGCGUGAGGGAUGAAGGUUCUAUGGAUCGUAAACCUCUUUUAUAAGGGAAUAAAGUGCGGGACGUGUCCCGUUUUGUAUGUACCUUAUGAAUAAGGAUCGGCUAACUCCGUGCCAGCAGCCGCGGUAAUACGGAGGAUCCGAGCGUUAUCCGGAUUUAUUGGGUUUAAAGGGUGCGUAGGCGGCCUUUUAAGUCAGCGGUGAAAGUCUGUGGCUCAACCAUAGAAUUGCCGUUGAAACUGGGAGGCUUGAGUAUGUUUGAGGCAGGCGGAAUGCGUGGUGUAGCGGUGAAAUGCUUAGAUAUCACGCAGAACCCCGAUUGCGAAGGCAGCCUGCCAAGCCAUGACUGACGCUGAUGCACGAAAGCGUGGGGAUCAAACAGGAUUAGAUACCCUGGUAGUCCACGCAGUAAACGAUGAUCACUAGCUGUUUGCGAUACAGUGUAA